UGGGGAAUUUUCCGCAAUGGGCGAAAGCCUGACGGAGCAACGCCGCGUGAAUGAAGAAGUCCUUCGGGAUGUAAAGUUCUUUCAGCAGGGACGAGUCGAAGACGGUACCUGCAGAAGAAGCAUCGGCUAACUACGUGCCAGCAGCCGCGGUAAUACGUAGGAUGCAAGCGUUGUCCGGAAUUAUUGGGCGUAAAGCGUACGUAGGCGGUUUGUUAAGUCAGGGGUUAAAGACCGAGGCUCAACCUCGGGAGUGCCUUUGAUACUGGCAGACUGGAGGACGGCAGAGGAAAGUGGAAUUCCCAGUGUAGCGGUGAAAUGCGUAGAUAUUGGGAGGAACACCAGUGGCGAAAGCGACUUUCUGGGCCGUUCCUGACGCUGAGGUACGAAAGCGUGGGGAGCAAACAGGAUUAGAUACCCCUGUAGUCC
rnacentral:rRNA from 1 species